AUUGAACGCUGGCGGCAGGCCUAACACAUGCAAGUCGAGCGAGUGGCGGACGGGUGAGUAAUGUCUGGGAAACUGCUCGAUGGAGGGGGAUAACUACUGGAAACGGUAUCUAAUACCGCAUACCAUCGGAUGUGCCCAGAUGGGAUUGGCUUGUAGGUGGGGUAACGGCUCUCCUAGGCGACGAUCGCUAGCUGGUCUGAGAGGAUGACCAGCGACACGGGAACUGAGACACGGUCCAGACUCCUACGGGAGGCAGCAGUGGGGAAUAUUGCACAAUGGGCGCAAGCCUGAUGCAGCCAGGCCGCGUGUAUGAAGAAGGCCUUCGGGUUGUAAAGUACGUUCAGCGGGGAGGCGUUACCCGCAGAAGAAGCACCGGCUAACUCCGUGCCAGCAGCCGCGGUAAUAC
rnacentral:rRNA from 1 species